rnacentral:lncRNA from 1 species
CCUCACCUGGAUGUAUAUAUAGAAGACCCACACUUGCCUCCCUCACUAGGACUACUUCCAGGAGCCCGGGUCCACUUCAGCCAGUUGGAGAAAAGGGUUUCCAGAUCUCACAAUGUUUAUUGUUGUUUCCGGUCAUCCACUUAUGUGCAGGUCCUGAGUUUUCCCCCUGAGACCACCAUCAGCAUUCCCCUGCCCCACAUCUACCUGGCUGAACUUCUGCAGGGUGGUCAGUCCCCAUUCCAGGCCACUGCCUCUUGCCAUAUCGUCUCUGUCUUCAGCCUUCAGCUCUUCUGGUCUUCAGCCAGGGUUGACGAGCCCAUGACCAUGUUCCUCUGGACACUUUGUACUAGCCCCUCUGUCCUCCGUCCUAUUGUG